AUGACCAAGCACAAGAGGGACGGUGGCAUAGGCUUCCGGGAAAUGCAGUGUUUUAACCAAGCUCUCCUAGCCCGGCAGAGUUGGAGACUUCUUCAGUACCCGGACAGCUUGUGUGCAAGAGUGCUAAAAUCAAAAUACUUCCCUAAUGGUAAUCUACUGGGCACGGUGUUCGCUUCUGACGCCUCGCCAUCCUGGAAAGGAAUUGAAUUUGGCCUUGAACUACUAAAGGAAGGUUUGAUUUGGCGGGUGGGCAACGGUAAGAACAUUCAAAUCCAGAGAGAUAAGUAG
rnacentral:rRNA from 1 species